UGCUUGAUAUUCAGAACAUGAUUUACUUCCUGUAGCCAACUUAAACUUUAAUCCUUACCCAAAAAAGGAUGAUUUGGUUGUUGAAUUGCUUUGAGUGUAUAAUGCAAAUGGUUAAAAACCAUUUUAGGCCAAUGGACAUCUUUGGGGGUAAUGAAGAACCAUUAAAUGUUCAUUUUAAAUAAGAAACUACUUUUGAUCUAAAAAACAUAAAAUGAAAUUCCAAAGAAGCCAAUCACUAAGACAAUCAGUUAGUCAAUGUUAAAGAGUACUAUCCGAUUAACAGGCAUUUAGUCAUACAAUGUAAAACUACCACAGCUUAGCUAAGUGUGUCCUCUUGCAAUAAUUUGGACCAACACUGUCCCAUCCUUUAUUGGCAUCAAGCACUUAAUACUUUAUGUCGUGACAUUUUACCUCGAAUUUGAUAAAGAAAAUUGCCUUAUUAGAUUAAUGUAUCCUAUGUCACAAUCUAUCAUAACCGAAGUAAGUCCUUGGAAAAUUAUUUUAUCUGAUUGAAUGGAAUAUCCAUUAUUGACUCAUUCUGUUAGAAUCGAAAGCCAAUGACUAUUCUCCAAAAACCACAUGAAUAUUUUCAGCCUCUUUCAUGAUACCACCAUACUACUAACAGAUUCACUCUUAUUGGGUUCAAUAAUUAUAGCAAAAUGUUAAAUAUGAUUUUCACCUAUGUAACUAUUCAUUAAAUUCAGACAAUUAUCGUGAAUUCUGAAGCCUGAGAUUAGCUGGCCUCAUGUUAAAUAUAUGAAGUUCACUUUAAUUUGUCUGAAUUGUCAUUGCAGUAUGUAAAAGCUCUAGCAUCCAAAACAUCAUCAAGUAGUUGAUCAUACACAUUGGAAUUUAGUGUAAAAUCCCUCUUUUUCUUUUUUUUUUUUUUUUUUCUCAUUUUCAAGUUUUUAAAACAAAAGCUACUCUUUGAUCUCAAAAACAUAAAAUGAAAUUCGAAAGAAGAAGCAAAUCACUAAGACAAUCGUAAAGCCAGUAUUCAGGAAGGUCAGCAAAUGAAACAGAUGUUUGCUAUCUAUGAGGCUUCAAGGCAAGUAAUAAACUAUGAGAAAUCUGCUGUUUUCUUUAGUGCAAACACGUGCAGGAAUCUGAUAAAGGAAAUACGUUCUUAGUUGGGGAAUAUGAAGGAAGCUACAAGCGGGAAGUACCUGGGACUACCUAAGUACCUAUGCUGAUAGGGAGAUCCAAGCAACAAGUUUUUGGAUACAUCAAAGCAAAGGUACAAGACAAGCUGCAAGGAUGGAAGAGGCAUUUGCUGAGCCCAGCAAGAAAAGCGGUAAAAUGGUAGCAAAGUUCUGGUGGGGCAAUGGAGAAAGCAAAAGGAGGAUGCACUGGACUAGCUGGGAAAAGAUGUCUCAUGUGAAAGGAAGAGGGGGACUGGGAGUUAGAGAUAUAGAGAAAUUCAAUGAUGCCUUCUUAGCCAAGCAGCUUUGGAGGAUGCUCACACAACCAAACCUACUUGUAAGUAGGGUGAUGAGGUCAAAGUAUCUAGGAAGAGCACAAGAUUGGGAUAAAGACCCUCCAAAAGCAUCUUCUUGGAUAUGGAAGAGUCUAAUGGGAACUAGGAAGCUGUUGAACAAAUGACUAUGGAAAAAAGUGGGAGAUCGAGAAACCAUUGACAUCUGGCAUGACAAGUGGAUUCCAGGUAGUGCAGAUGGUAAGAUCAAAACUAGAAGGAAUCCAGAAUGCACAAUCAGGACAACAGCAGAGCUGAUGAGAGAAAGAGAAUGGAACCAGGAGAUACUCAAAAGAUGGUUCAUAGCAGAAGAUAUCCAGAAAAUCAUGGCUAUCCCUAUAAGUAUAACAGGCUGCAAAGACAGAAUGUAUUGGAGAUGCACAAAGUCUGGGCUCUUUACUGUAAAGUCAGCCUAUGCUGUAGCAAUGGAAGAACAUCUACAACAGCAGAUGACAAGGAGGGAAGAGAAUAAAGAAAGCACUAGAAAUGCUCAAAAGAUAUCGAACAUCUGGAAAGGAGUGUGAUCCCAGCAGAUGAAACACAACUCAAACAUUUCAUCUAGAGAUGCCUGCACCAUAGUAUACCAGUGAAUGAGCAGAUAAACAAGAGGAUAGGAAGAAGAAGUCCGAUGUGUGAAUGUUGUGGGGAAGUAGUGGAAACAGUCAAACACAUGCUGUUUUUCUGCAAAAAUGCUGAAACCACUUCGAAAUUAGCACCUCUGCAAUGGGACGGGUUGAAUGACAUGAGAAGCAACUUUGUAAGAUGGUGGAAAGGGAUAUUUAGGAGCUAGGAUGAGAGACAAAAGGACAGGAUCACGUAACACUGUAAAUAUUUUGUGGCAAAUCUGGAAAGCAAGGAACAGGAAAGUUUUUGCUGAAGAAAAAGCAGAUCCAGGGAAAACAGUGCAAAAGCUCAAGUAGAGUGGAAUGAGUAUAUAGAAGCUCAGAACAGCACAGGGCCAGAGUUCAUUGAACAAACAACCAACUCAAGCAGACUGGAAAACUGGAAACCACCAAUAGGAGAGAUGAUAAAGAUCAACUCUGAUGCUGCCUUCUCAAAGAAUAUGAACAAAAGUGGAAUAGGAGCCAUUGCUAGAAAUGGAGAAGGACAGCUGAUGAAAGCUUGGGCCAGAGCUGAGAUAAAAACAAGUGAGCCACCGGUGGAGGAAGUGGCAGCAAUUAGAAUGGGAAUGGUGGUGGCUCGAGAAGCUCAAUGGAAGGAACUGGAAUUCCAGUCUGAUUGAAAGGAGGUGCUGGACCUGAUCAACAAGGAAAAUGGGAAGGAAUCUAGAGUUGAUAUCAUUCUAGAGGGCAACGCCAACAUGAGAUGCUUGUUUGACAAAUGUACUUUCUCUGUUGUCCAUAUAGUAGGGAACAAGUGUGCAUAUGCUAGCAAAGUUUGCUGUCAAGUUAGUUAGGAAUAUUGAAUGGGAAGGAAAUUGUGAUGUAGCUCCAUGAGAGUGCACAAAAUGAUUACAAAGGAAGUAAUUGUGAUGUAUCAAAUCUUGUGAUAUCAAGUUAAUGAAAACCAAUAUGAUUUUGACAAAAAAAAAAAAAAA